AAGAACUUAGGCCAAUUAGACCAAAGGCCUUCAAAGUCUUUAGUAGAAGUUAAAAUCUUCUAGUCCUUG
rnacentral:tRNA from 3 species